UCCGUGCUGCCGCCGUGCGACUGUCGAGAUUUCCUUAUGUCUGCAUUUUUUUGUACAAUUAUCUUCAGGAACGUCGGGCAGCUUUCAUGAACCAAUCCCCUAUUCAGACCGGCUUUCAUGAGCGCUCGUCGGGCACAUGGGGAAGGAGGCCGGCGAGGAGCACCACUGGGGGGCAGAGACAUAUUUAAUCUUGAUCAUUGCAGGCAAUAUGCACUUGGUGAGCGAGCACUAACAGGUUCCAGUCAACAUAGUUGAAGAUUACACAUUUUUUGGUGGAUCAGAAUUUUUUAGAAGCCACGACACAAGUUUGGCGAACGUUCUUAAUAUUGGUGAAAAUGUAAAUGACGAUGGACUUCUCACCACACUUCCAGUCAUUGAUCUUUUUGUUCAGUUAACUCAUAUGACGUGGCGUGAAGGUCAGAAAGGACAAUUUAAUUGUGAUGUUAGAAAAACUGCAAUAAUUUGCUGGUGAUGCCUAUGCAAACGUAUGUCUUCUUAUAUUGCUCAAUGUCCUAACUCAAUGGUCAGGAGCCUAAAGGUCCUUGAGAAGAUUGCCUGCCAGGGAAUCCAAGAAAUUCAGAAAUGGCAUAUGGAUAGCUAAUUCAGAGAUUUAGGACUACUACAGAUGCAAAACCUCAAGUAUCGAGUGCUGGAAAAACCUACAGCCUGACAGCCCUACAAAAUUAAAUACUUCAGUAAAAAUGUAUUUUUCGUUUGAUACAUUUUUUAUCUUUGGGUAUAUCCCUUUGUUGUGUUGAACUA